GUGGUGUUCAGGUGUACCUGUGGUGGGACUGAGCGUAGGCAGGUGUGGCAGUGAUGUAUUGAGCUCCCAGGUCAGCUGAGUGUGAUGAGGCGUUUGGAGGACGGCUGGUGAACAUCCGACCACCUGAGACAGAACAGCUGAACCCGGUUCGGCUGUGAGUUCGGGAACAUUAAAUCCUCUGGUUUCUGGAUGGACUUCUGUCUCACCUGCUCCUCUGGAUUUGUCCCAAACCACGAUAUGAACUUUGCUCUGCAGCUCCCUCCUCAGCAGACAUGCGCAGAUGCUGCCGGUCAGACCCGCUCCGACUAUCAGAACCCGAGACAUCUUCAGCUCCGAACCGGACCGGACUCACGGUACCGGCGGACACAGAAUAACAGGUUCGGGUCAAAUCCUCCA